rnacentral:rRNA from 1 species
GCAAGUCGAGCGAGAAAGUUCUCUUCGGAGAAUGAGUAGAGCGGCGCACGGGUGAGUAACGCGUGGAUAAUCUGCCCAGAAGAUCGGGAUAACAGUUGGAAACGACUGCUAAUACCGUAUAAUCUACAUAUUUAACUUUAUGUGGGAAAGGUGGCCUCUGUUUCAAGCUACCACUUUUGGAUGAGUCCGCGUCUCAUUAGUUUGUUGGUGGGGUAAUGGCCUACCAAGACUACGAUGAGUAGCUGGUCUGAGAGGAUGAUC